CUGAUGCCCUUGAGGGAAUUGGGUGGGUCAUGCCCCAAAGCCUCCAGCUGGUUUCAAUUCUCUCCACAGACACCAGGACUCAAAGGCAGAGGCAAAGCUCAGCAGCCCAGUGGUCAACAUGCUGCAGCUGGUAAUGCAACAUGUGAGAGAGGGCUAUGGGAGGAGGGGCUGGCCUGAUGUGUUCACACAAUAGAGAGUGGGCUAAGGGAGGAGGAGGGGGAGAAGGAGGAGGUGACUGUGGUGUUCACAUAGUAGAGAGUGGGCUAUGGGAGGAAGAGGAGGAGGAGCCGGUGGUGUUCAGGAGCCAGCGGUGUUCACAGAGUAGAGAGUGGGCUAUGGGAGGAGGAAGAGGAGGAGGAGCCUGUGGUGUUCACACAGUAGUGAGUGGGCUAUGGGAGGAGGAGGAGGAGGAGGAGGGGCCUGUGGUGUUCACACAGUAGAGAGUGGGCUAUGGGAGGAGGAGGAGGAGGAGGGGACUGUGGUGUUC
rnacentral:lncRNA from 1 species